rnacentral:rRNA from 1 species
UACGUAGGGGGCUAGCGUUGUCCGGAAUCAUUGGGCGUAAAGAGCGUGUAGGCGGCUUGGUAAGUCCGCUGUGUAAGUCCAGGGCUCAACCCUGGAAAGCCAGUGGAAACUGUCAAGCUAGAGUCCGGAAGAGGCGAGUGGAACUCCUGGUGUAGCGGUGAAAUGCGCAGAUAUCAGGAGGAACACCGGUGGCGAAGGCGGGUCUCUGGGCAGUAACCGACGCUGAGGAGCGAAAGCGUGGGGAGCGAACAGG